UUCGUAGGCGGUGUGGCAAGUUGGGAGUGAAAUCUCUGGGCUCAACCCAGAGGCUGCUUCCAAAACUGCUGUGCUUGAGUGUGGGAGAGGCGCGUGGAAUUGCAGGUGUGGCGGUGAAAUGCGUAGAUAUCUGCAGGAACACCCGUGGCGAAAGCGGCGCGCUGGACCACAACUGACGCUGAGGAACGAAAGCUAGGGGAGCAAACAGGAUUAGAUACCCUGGUAGUCCUAGCCCUAAACGAUCAGGACUUGGGGUGCCACCCGUUCGGGUGUCGUCCCGGAGCUAACGCGUUAAGUCCUGCACCUGGGGAGUACGGUCGCAAGACUGAA
rnacentral:rRNA from 1 species